rnacentral:rRNA from 1 species
AGCGAACGUUUGCGGCGGGCCUAACACAUGCAAGUCGAACGGGCUAGCAAUAGUCAGUGGCGCACGGGUGCGUAACACGUGGGUAAUCAACCCUUCAGCUCGGGAUAACGCCUUGAAAGGGGCGCUAAUACCGGAUACGACGCGAGGAGCUUCGGCUGCUUGCGGGAAAGAUUCGCAAGGAUCUCUGAAGGACGAGCCUGCGGCCCAUCAGCUAGUUGGUGAGGUAAGAGCUCACCAAGGCGAAGACGGGUAGCUGGUCUGAGAGGAUGAUCAGCCACACUGGAACUGAGACACGGUCCAGACUCCUACGGGAGGCAGCAGUGGGGAAUAUUGCGCAAUGGGCGAAAGCCUGACGCAGCCACGCCGCGUGAGCGAUGAAGGCCUCGGUCGUAAGACUCUGUGGGAGGAGAAGAAUAAAGACC